CCUACGGGUGGCAGCAGUGGGGAAUAUUGCGCAAUGGGCGAAAGCCUGACGCAGCGACGCCGCGUGAGGGAUGAAGGUCUUCGGAUCGUAAACCUCUGUCAGCAGGGAAGAACGGUCACUGUGCUAAUCAGCAGUGAAUUGACGGUACCUGCAAAGGAAGCACCGGCUAACUCCGUGCCAGCAGCAGCGGUAAUACGGAGGGUGCGGGCGUUAAUCGGAAUUACUGGGCGUAAAGCGCUCGUAGGCGGUACGUCAAGUCAAGGGUGAAAUCCCCGCGCUCAACGUGGGAAGUGCCUUUGAAACUGGAGAACUGGAGUGUGUGGGAGGAUAGUGGAAUUCCAGGUGUAGGAGUGAAAUGCGUAGAUAUCUGGAGGAACAUCAGUGGCGAAGGCGACUAUCUGGCACAUAACUGACGCUGAGGAGCGAAAGCGUGGGUAGCAAACAGGAUUAGAUACCCUGGUAGUC
rnacentral:rRNA from 1 species